CACUCCUACGGGAGGCAGCAGUGGGGAAUAUUGCACAAUGGGCGCAAGCCUGAUGCAGCCAUGCCGCGUGUAUGAAGAAGGCCUUCGGGUUGUAAAGUACUUUCAGCGGGGAGGAAGGCGAUAAGGUUAAUAACCUUGUUGAUUGACGUUACCCGCAGAAGAAGCACCGGCUAACUCCGUGCCAGCAGCCGCGGUAAUACGGAGGGUGCAAGCGUUAAUCGGAAUUACUGGGCGUAAAGCGCACGCAGGCGGUCUGUCAAGUCGGAUGUGAAAUCCCCGGGCUCAACCUGGGAACUGCAUUCGAAACUGGCAGGCUAGAGUCUUGUAGAGGGGGGUAGAAUUCCAGGUGUAGCGGUGAAAUGCGUAGAGAUCUGGAGGAAUACCGGUGGCGAAGGCGGCCCCCUGGACAAAGACUGACGCUCAGGUGCGAAAGCGUGGGGAGCAAACAGGAUUAGAAACCCUAGUAGUCCCAUGAU
rnacentral:rRNA from 1 species